GGCCGGUGACGAAGGAUUAAUAUUUGCUACUCUUGAUGGGGUGCCAACCUCACUGAUGAUUCUUAUCCACCAAGAUCUCUGAGGCU